UAAUACAGAGGGUGCAAGCGUUAAUCGGAAUUACUGGGCGUAAAGGGCGCGUAGGUGGUUGCUUAAGUUAGAUGUGAAAUCCCCGGGCUUAACCUGGGAACUGCAUUUAAUACUGGGCGGCUAGAGUAGAGUAGAGGGAAGUGGAAUUUCCGGUGUAGCGGUGAAAUGCGUAGAUAUCGGAAAGAACACCAGUGGCGAAGGCGGCUUCCUGGACUCAUACUGACACUGAGGCGCGAAAGCGUGGGUAGCAAACAGG
rnacentral:rRNA from 1 species